AUGUACAACGGCAUCGGGCUCCAGACCGCGCGCGGGUCCGGCACGAAUGGGUACGUGCAGACCAACAAGUUCUUCAUCCGCCCCCGGACCGACGGGGCCGCCAAGGCGCCGCUCCACAACUACGACCACGACCCCGACCGCCACAAGCUCGGCGGGAUGCGGCCGCCCAACAAGGAGAUCCUGGAGCACGACCGGAGGCGGCAGGUGGAGCUGCGGCUGGUCGAGCUGAGGGACACCCUCGAGGAGCAGGGCUACACCGAGGGCGAGAUCGAGGAGCGCGUCGAGGAGGCGCGCAAGGAGGCCGAGCUGGAGGCCGCCGCCGCUGCCGUGGUCGCGGAGGCGGGUGGUCGCGCGGGCGGCGGGGGGCCAGCAGCGCGUCCGGGCGAAGGGUUCACGGGCACACAGAGCCACCAUGUCGCAGCACGGAAGGAGAAGCAGCUUGAGACGCUGAGGGCUGCUCUUGGGCUAGAAGCUGAGGUUGGAGAGAAGAACGCUGAAGUAGACAGUGAUCCGGAGUCUGGGGAGCUUGUACCUGGGAAGGAGUCUGAAGAGAUGGAUGUUGAUGUUCAGAACGAUAGGAAGGCUUCAAAGGAUGGUAAGAAGCAUGCAAAGAAGGGAAAGAAGGAAAAAGGGAGUGAUAGGAAGAGUCAGAGCAGAAGUUUGAGGAAGAGUAAGCACGGGUAUGAUUCAGAAGAUGAUUCUGAGUCUGACCAUGAUGAGAUAAAGGGAAAGAAAUACAUAAAGAAAUCCUUCUUAGAUAGAGAUGUUGAUUCUAAGAUUGUUCAUAAGAAGGCAAAACAGGGAAAAGGCACACGCCAUGAUUCUGAGGCUGAUUCAGACAGUGAUCAUGGCAAGAAGGCAAAACACACGAAAAGCAAUCGUGAUGAGGGAAAGAAGGGGCCUGUGAAGAGCUCUCGUCAUGACUCUAAAGAUGAGAAGCCCAGAAGAAGCAAGUACAAGGAUGAUUCGUACAGUGACUCGGAGAGUGAUGUCUCGUACAGUGAUUCAGAGAGCGACUAUGAUCGAAAAAAGAAAAAAUCCUCCCACCACGGUUCUAAAGAUGAUAAACAGGCACCAAAAAGCAAAGAGAAGGAAGCCAGUUUGGUUAAGAAUGUUGAUAAGCGCAAGAGACAUGAUUCUGAUUCGGAUGGUUCUGCUCAUGAUAGGAAAAUACACCUUGAUGCAGCUGUUGCUAGGAAGGAUCAUUCCCGUGAUAAACCGACGAUUGACCCAAGCAGUGAUGAAUAUAAAAACAAAAGGCCUGUGAAGACUUCUCGCCAUGACUCUGAAGAUGAGAAGCCACACGGCAAGGUCCCUCGGAAGGAAAAGUAUGCCGAAUCAGAGACUGACUCAGAGAGGUAUACCAGUGAAAAGAAGAAGCCUGCAAAAUCCUCUGUCCAUGUUUCUAAAGUUGAUAAGGAAGCACCAAAACAUAGAGAGAAGGAAGGGAAGACUAGUAGUAAAAAUGUUGAUAAGCGCACGAGGCAUGAUUCUGAUUCUGAUUCUGAUUCGGAUGGAUGGCAAAGACACCCUGACACAAAGGUAAAAAAGAUUGUGGAAGAGAAAAAAAGGGUGAUUAGCUCAAGUGAGAGUUCAUUUUACAGCAGCAGCAGCAGUGAAUCAGAUGUGAGCGAUGAAAGCCGUGAGAACAGGAAAUCUGACAGAGGAUUGAAGAAUGGUAAUGGUCAGAACCAUGCUAAAAGGGCUUCUUACAAGAAUGAGUUAGAGGAAAGGAAAAAGGGUCAAGAUGGGAGAAGGAAGGAAGAGAGAAUGGAGCAGGAGAAACAAAAACAGAGGGAGGAAGAGAGGAAAGAGUUGGAGAAGCAAAAGCGUCUGGAGGAAGAGAGGAAAGAGUUGGAGAGGCAAAAACGUCUGGAGGGAGAGAGGAAGGAGCUGGAGAAGCAAAAGCAGAGGGCGAAGGAGGAAGAGACACUGAAAGAGAAGGAACAUGAGCGGAGGAAAGGCGGGCAUGGUGUGGAAAGGGACAGCAAAAGAAAGGUUGGAGAAGAUAGGUACGACCCAAAUUCAAACAGACUCAGCGAUGAUGAAAAUAGGGAGGACCGAAAGACGCGUGAAGAUUAUGGUCGACAGAAAACUACAGAUUCAGAUAGGUAUGACCCAAAUUCAAACAGACAUAGUGAUGAUGAAAACAGGGACCGGAAGAGGCAUGAAGAGUACGGUCGACACAGAGCUAGAUUUUCAGAUAGCCAUGAUUCAAAGAGGUCUAGAUAUGAUGACUCUUAUAACCACUCGAGGAGGGAUUAUGAAGAGCGCUAUUCUAGAGAUGAGCACAGAGACAGGAGGCAUCGUUGA
rnacentral:rRNA from 1 species